rnacentral:rRNA from 1 species
CCUACGGGAGGCAGCAGUGAGGAAUAUUGGUCAAUGGUCGAGAGACUGAACCAGCCAAGCCGCGUGAGGGAUGACGGCCCUACGGAUUGUAAACCUCUUUUGUCGGGGAGCAAAGAGCGGGACGCGUCCCCCCACGAGAGUACCCGGAGAAAAAGCAUCGGCUAACUCCGUGCCAGCAGCCGCGGUAAUACGGGGGAUGCGAGCGUUAUCCGGAUUUAUUGGGUUUAAAGGGUGCGCAGGCGGACUGGAAAGUCAGCGGUAAAAUCGCGAGGCUCAACCACGUCCCGCCGUUGAAACUGCGAGUCUAGAGUGGGCGAGAGGUACGCGGAAUGCGUGGUGUAGCGGUGAAAUGCAUAGAUAUCGCGCAGAACUCCGAUUGCGAAGGCAGCGUGCCGGCUCCAAACUGACGCUGAGGCACGAAAGCGUGGGUAUCGAACAGGAUUAGAUACCCUUGUAGUC